rnacentral:rRNA from 1 species
UACGGGGGGGGUAAGCGUUGUUCGGAAUCACUGGGCUUAAAGCGUGUGUAGGUGGAUGUCUAAGUACCUUGUGAAAUCCCACGGCUUAACCGUGGAACGGCUCGGUAUACUGGAUGUCUUGAGCCAGCUAGGGGCUACCGGAACAAAUGGUGGAGCGGUGAAAUGCGUAGAUAUCAUUUGGAACGCCAAUGGUGAAAACAGGUAGCUGGGGCUGUGCUGACACUGAGACACGAAAGCCAGGGGAGCGAACGGG